GCUGGGCCCUUUACGAGGUUCGGUCUUGGAGCUCCGUCUUCGGCAGCGGGCUCGGGGGCCUCGGACUCUGCAUAAGGCCCCGGAAAAGAUGACCGGCCCCGGGCUGGGCGCGGUGGCUCAUGCCUGUAACCCUGGAGCUUUGGGAGGCCUUGGCGGGCGGAUCGCUUGAGUCCAGGAGUUCGAGAUCAGCCUGGGCAACAAAGCGAGACACCACCCCCCACCCCCAGUCGCUACAGAAGAAAAAAAAAAAAAUUAACCGGGCGUGGUGUCUCGCGCCCAGUGGUCCUAGCUCCUCGGGAAGUCAUCAGAGAUGCCAGACCAGAGGAAAUACAGCAAUCAAAGCAGGCAAACCUGUUGCUAAAUGUGUUUUUGAGAGUAAAACUCCUUGGCCAAAUACUUCAAGACGCUGAUGAUUCUCAAAACUGUCAUCAUGAACCAUCUGGAGAAGGCCAGAUGUUUACAUUUCACGGAAAUGUGGUCCUGAAACCUUCAUUCUGAGCGCAGAGCUAACCACCUCCUCCUAUUCUUGGCAACACUAGUAAAUGAUACAUUACCACAGAGCAGGUGAAAUGCAGCAGAGACAUCUACGCUAGAACCUGAGGGUUGCUAUGUUGUAAGAAGCAUGCCCAGGUUUAUACUAGGACGCUCGGCUGGAGCAUUGGUUCACCGCUGUCCACUAUUUUAAAGACAUGCCAGAAAUAACAAUCCUAUUAUCUGAUUUCCAAGUAAGUCAGGAUGUUCCUACUAACAGCCCUUCCUUUUAUGGUAGUGAGAAUAGUCUAGAAACUUAGUGUUUUAUGAUAAUUCAUGUGCCGUGGCUCUCUUCCAGGAGAUUUUAAUCUCCCUCUGGCCUUGUCUUAUUCACCUUUAUGUCCCAGGACAAAAAUGUUGGACUGUUUGUUAUAUGUUAAUAAGUGGGCUGGGCGCGGUGGCUCACGCCUGUAAUCCCAGCACUUUGGGAGGCCGAGGUGGGCAGAUCACAAGGUCAGGAGUUCAAGACCAGCCUGCCCAAUAUGGUGAAACCCCAUCUGUACUAAAAAUACAAAAACAUUAGCCAGGUGUAGUGGCACAUGCCUGUAAUCCCAGCUACUCGGGAGGUUGAGGCAGGAGAAUUGCUUGAAUCCGGGAGAUGGAGGUUACAGUGAGCCAAGAUUGCGACACUGCACUCCAGCCUGGGCAACAGAGCAAGACUUCGUCUUAAAAAAUAAAAUAAAAUAAAAUAAAUGAUUGAUAAACAGUGAA